rnacentral:lncRNA from 1 species
AAUGACUGGGAGGGAUUUUCCAGAAGAUUACAGUCUUAAAGACUGUGAGAUGUUUUUUAUGUCAUACAAUAUUUAUUACAAUAAGGCAUGAUUUUCCCUGGAAUGACUGUCUGCUAAUGGGCUAAAUGAAUAAGCAAGUAACUCGUUCACAAACAGCAUCAUUAGGAGCUGAGGGAGUGAGUCUCCUUCCGUGUGGCCUGUUUUGCAUCUCACAAGUUUGGAAGAGACAAAAGUAAUGAAAAAAAGAAGUAGAAGAACAGUUGGACCUGUAUAACACCUAGCUUUCCAUUUGAGGACUGCCAAGUUUAUGAUAACCAUGACAGAAUCUACCAUGGAGAGUCACUUGUCAAAUUUUAUCCCAUCUAGUCCAGGAAAAGGCAAACUGCGAAAGAGGAUGUCUUUGUAAGGCGGGUGAAAAUUGUGAAAGCCAGCAAAGGAGAGAUUUGGAAGGAAACUAUGAAGGAAAGCAUUCUCCCAGGGUCCGAACGCCCAUAAGCUGACACUGUACUGCACAAAUCCAGACCUGCACUUCCUUGCACCAGCUAGAGAAACAUUAAAAAUGGUGAUUCUGCUAUGUAAUUUGAACCCUUUUCAGAAAAAAGCCAACAACAAUACCACAAUACCAGAAUCAGAGGUGGAGUUCUUGUUUACAUCAGUUCAGCAAAGCAAAGCAUAUGAAAAAGCCCUCAAGUCUGACAAAACAGCGCACAAGGAGUUUCCUGGCCUGGUUUCUACUAAUAAAGUUAUGACAAAAGGAGAUUUUCAGGAGUCUUCAUUUGUAAUAUCUGUUCUCCACUACACUGCUUUAGUGAACUGGCAGAAACAAAGAUACUUGGUUUCAUCUCUGUCAGUAUCAACAGGACUUUAUAAAAGAUUUUAUAAAAAGUGUUUUGUCUUUCUGCAGUAAUAAAAGUAGUAACUUGGGUGCUCUACUGUUUUCUGAACAGUCCUCCACUUAUUUUUGUAUCACUAUAUAUUUCUGUGCUGUAUCCAGAUGUCAAAACAAUGAGCAUGGAGGGGGUGGGGGUGAAAGAAGUAAGUUAAGCACUCAAUACAAAUAUGGAUUAGUGGGUUAGCUUGAUGGGCUGCCUACUUGCAUAAAUCUCUCUAUAUAUUUGUUUUGCUCCCACUAAGACUUUGUUUACUCAAAUAGAUUCUGCAUUAUAUUGGUUUUGAUUCAUCAUUACUUCAUAAGCUGCUUUGAGAUAAAUUUACAGACCUGGAUGGUCUACAUAAAGCCAAAGUUUCUGCAAUUCUUUAAAAACAUUGGACAUCAACACUAUACUUUAGUCAGCUCUACUACUUCUGAUUUUCCUGGGUAAGGAACAUUGUCAGGAAUCUCUGCUGAUAUUGUCUUCUCUAUUAUUAUAGUACUUAAAGUUUGUACUGCAUUUUAAAUAAAUAAAACACAGACUUUUGAUUCUUCUGUCUA